GUGCUCGCUUCAGCAGCACAUAUACUAAAAUAGGAACGAUACAGAGAUUAGCAUGGCCCCUGCUCAAGGAUGACAUGCAAAUUUUGAAUGAUAGACCUGUUGAAU